rnacentral:rRNA from 1 species
AUUAGUGGCGAACGGGUGAGUAACACGUGAGUAACCUGCCCUUAACUCUGGGAUAAGCCUGGGAAACUGGGUCUAAUACCGGAUAUGACUCCUCAUCGCAUGGGGGGGGGUGGAAAGCUUUAUUGUGGUUUUGGAUGGACUCGCGGCCUAUCAGCUUGUUGGUGAGGUAAUGGCUCACCAAGGCGACGACGGGUAGCCGGCCUGAGAGGGUGACCGGCCACACUGGGACUGAGACACGGCCCAGACUCCUACGGGAGGCAGCAGUGGGGAAUAUUGCACAAUGGGCGCAAGCCUGAUGCAGCGACGCCGCGUGAGGGAUGACGGCCUUCGGGUUGUAAACCUCUUUCAGUAGGGAAGAAGCGAAAGUGACGGUACCUGCAGAAGAAGCGCCGGCUAACUACGUGCCAGCAGCCGCGGUAAUACGUAGGGCGCAAGCGUUAUCCGGAAUUAUUGGGCGUAAAGAGCUCGUAGGCGGUUUGUCGCGUCUGCCGUGAAAGUCCGGGGCUCAACUCCGGAUCUGCGGUGGGUACGGGCAGACUAGAGUGAUGUA